UAUCUUCAGGGCAGGGUGAAAUUCCCGACCGGCGGUAAAGUCCGCGCGCUUCAAUGAAGCAUGAAUGGGUGCAAUUCCCAUACCGACCGUACAGUCUGGAUGAAAGAAGACG
rnacentral:ncRNA from 1 species